CCCGUGCCGUAGACCCUCCGAGACGUUUCACUCGAAAGCUUGACAAAUAAAAAUUCAGUUUUGACAUUUGAUCGCAAUUUAUUUACCUUCACAAAAACUACAGAUAACAAAAAAAAAAGAUUACCGCGAUCCAUGGCGCAUUUAAGAGCACACGCAGGCAGGCAGGUGUCUGCCUUCAGUUUUCGGGCAGUGCAGCGACACUUCUCCUCCCAGUUCGUUGGGGAUCCGAGAGUUGUGGGUCUGCGCGGCGACUCUGCGAGCUGCCAUGGACCGACGAGUGGCCAUGCGACCCGACCGGCCCUUCUCCCACCCACCCUAAAACCUCGACAACCUCCUCCCUCUUCUUUCUCUCUCUCUCUCUCUCUAGAACGCGCGCAAGAACACACGCACGUAGGAGAAGCCGGACCGGCGCACCAACCCCAGGUCCCAACCACUUAAUUAGGAGGAGGAGGGGGAGGGAUCGGAGGGGAAGGAUCGUCAUCCAAGCCGCGUGACCUUUAAUUCGCCGCGCCGCACGCCCUUGUCAUGGAAGGUGGCGGCUGGGCAGCCGGAGGAGGCCACGUUCUUGGCGCCGCCCAGGAACCGCGGGGGGAGGAGGAGGAGGAGAAGGAAGCCGGACCUGCCGCAGAGAGGAAGAAGGGCAGCGGCGGCGGCGGCGGCGGCAUGAAGUUCCGCGUGCGCGCGCGGGCGCCGCACGGCGUCGGG
rnacentral:lncRNA from 1 species